rnacentral:rRNA from 1 species
GAUGAACGCUGGCGGCGUGCCUAAUACAUGCAAGUCGAGCGAACAGACGAGGAGCUUGCUCCUCUGACGUUAGCGGCGGACGGGUGAGUAACACGUGGAUAACCUACCUAUAAGACUGGGAUAACUUCGGGAAACCGGAGCUAAUACCGGAUAAUAUAUUGAACCGCAUUGUUCAAUAGUGAAAGACGGUUUUGCUGUCACUUAUAGAUGGAUCCGCGCCGCAUUAGCUAGUUGGUAAGGUAACGGCUUACCAAGGCAACGAUGCGUAGCCGAACUGAGAGGGUGAUCGGCCACACUGGAACUGAGACGCGGUCCAGACUCCUACGGGAGGCAGCAGUAGGGAAUCUUCCGCAAUGGGCGAAAGCCUGACGGAGCAACGCCGCGUGAGUGAUGAAGGUCUUCGGAUCGUAAAACUCUGUUAUGAGGGAAGAACAAAUGUGUAAGUAACUAUGCACGUCUUGACGGUACCUAAUCAGAAAGCCACGGCUAACUACGUG